GCAGCCGCCGCGGUAAUACGGAGGAUCCAAGCGUUAUCCGGAAUCAUUGGGUUUAAAGGGUCCGUAGGCGGUCUUGUAAGUCAGUGGUGAAAGCCCAUCGCUCAACGGUGGAACGGCCAUUGAUACUGCAGGACUUGAAUUAUUGGGAAGUAACUAGAAUAUGUAGUGUAGCGGUGAAAUGCUUAGAGAUUACAUGGAAUACCAAUUGCGAAGGCAGGUUACUACCAAUUGAUUGACGCUGAUGGACGAAAGCGUGGGUAGCGAACAGGAUUAGAUACCCCUGUAGUCCCUGUCUCUUAUAA
rnacentral:rRNA from 1 species